GCGGGAAUAGCUCAGUUGGUAGAGCGGUACCUUGCCAAGGUACAGGUCGCGAGUUCGAGCCUCGUUUCCCGCUCCA
rnacentral:tRNA from 1 species